rnacentral:lncRNA from 1 species
CAACACUGCCUCUGAUUCAGGGUAAAUGAGGAAGGAGCCCUGAGUUGGGGGGAGACAGAAAAAGCUCUGGAGCUGUCUGGAUAUACCCGCUUCAGCCAAGAAGGGAUCCAGGGACUUCUGUCCUGGGAGGGGGAAAAUGGCAGCAUGAGGAGAGUGGGAGGAUCCUCAUGACCCCGAAAUGUGAAUCGCAGCAUGUGGGGGACAAUGUGGGAACCCACAAGGACUGUGUGGCCAAAGGCCCGGCGCUCAAUCACCAAGAUGCUGAGUGGAGGCUGCAAGUAAGGCUGCUCCGGCAAGUCCUGGGGGUGGAAGAGAGGAGCUGUGUCUUUGAAGACCUGGGGAACAGGGAAAGGUAGCCACAGAGACAGGUGCUCCCUCCUCCCAUCCACGAUCAACUGCUCAAAUACCAGGAGUUCAUCCCACAGAGGGCUCAGCGUCUGCUCCAGGACCUUGGGGGCCAUACAGAGAAGCGGGUAGCAGCAGAUAUCAGGAGAAGGCUCCCAACAUGCAUGCCAUGCGAACACCCCUGCUCUGAAGGAAUACUUUAAGUAAAUGCUCAUCACAAGAAGAGUGAGAUGUGAGGAAGACGAAAGCAUCUUCAGUUGGUGUUGCAGCCAGCCCCUCACAGCCCUGCCUCCCCAUUGCAAUUGGCCCCUCAGAGUCCAGGCCUAAAGUCAACCCCAGAAAAUGACUCCUCGCCGCUAAGACCUCCAGUUCUACAUCACCUGCUAAGUUAGGGCCAUCUAGUACCCCAUCCUGAUACCCUGCUCUGCAAACCCAGAGUGCGAGGAGAGGGGCCUUGGGGAAAAGCUCAGACCCACCCUAACUUGUCUCCUGGGUCCCUUCCACCCACAUGUCAUCCCAGCCCUCACCCGUGUGG